rnacentral:lncRNA from 1 species
AGUGUCAUAAUACACCAUGAGGUGGUUGGGUCCCAUUUCCAGAACAACCAGAGUGACGUCUGAGCAAUGCUCUCUGAACAAGAUCUUCAUGUCUGCUCCCAAAGAGGGUUGCUACAUUCUUAGCUUCCCUCAAUUCAAUUCUUUUAUGAUAAAAAGAAGGAUAAUGUAAGUUUCAUACAUGUUUCUUUUGAGUAGCCUGUGAGAAAGGAAAUUUCAUCCUCUGAAAAUUCAUAUAAAUGACAGCAGAAAUACAAGAAGGAGAUUGGAUUUCAAUCCUCUUGGAAACAAUUGAUUUGGAAGUGGUCUGUGGUCUAAAGAUUUUGACAAAAUUUUAGGAGCAAGUAAAGAUGAUAUAAAUAUAUAAAGAGACAGAACAGAAGGCAGAUAGCCACAUUUCAGAAAACAUGGAGAAAUUAUACAAGUGAUUCUUCCCAAGAAAUUCUUCAGAAAUGUCCAAAGAAAAAAUUAUGGACUUACAAAUCUGACUGUGCGAUGACUGCAAAAUCCUCCUUUAUCUUUCUCUCCCUGACAUGCAUGCAACUGAGAUUUGCAUCAUUUGUCUUUAGGCUAAAAGAAGGGAAAACAUUUCAAAAUGAUUUACCGAUUUUUUUAAAUGAUGGGCACAGUAACCAUAAUUAAGUCUUCCGUAUUUGGCAUUGGAAUGAAGGUAACGGGAUCAAACCCUUCUAUUUACUGCUCCUUACUCAUCCAAAGACGCAGUCAACCA